rnacentral:rRNA from 1 species
AGAGUUUGAUCCUGGCUCAGGAUGAACGCUGGCGGCGUGCUUAACACAUGCAAGUCGAACGAUGAAGCCCAGCUUGCUGGGUGGAUUAGUGGCGAACGGGUGAGUAACACGUGAGUAACCUACCCUUGACUCUGGGAUAAGCCCGGGAAACUGGGUCUAAUACCGGAUAGGAACGACCACCGCAUGGUGGUUGUUGGAAAGAUUUAUCGGUCAUGGAUGGACUCGCGGCCUAUCAGCUUGUUGGUGAGGUAAUGGCUCACCAAGGCGACGACGGGUAGCCGGCCUGAGAGGGUGACCAGCCACACUGGGACUGAGACACGGCGCAGACUCCUACGGGAGGCAGCAGUGGGGAAUAUUGCACAAUGGGCGAAAGCCUGAUGCAGCGACGCCGCGUGAGCGAUGACGGCCUUCGGGUUGUAAACCUCUUUCAGUAGGGAAGAAGCGAUAGUG